AACCAAACGUCAGGAAUGGCCACCACCACCACAUCCCUCCGCUCCCGCCUCCUCAUCCUCCCACCACCGCCGUCUCCCUCCGUUUCCGCCCAUGCGCCUCCGUACUCCCCUCCUCUUCCCGGAGGAACCUCCGCCUCGCGGCACGUGCGGCGCCGCCCGGCGGCGCGGUGGCCCCUGCGUCGUCGUCGGCGGCGCCGGCGGCGGAGGAGAAGGAUGGGAACGGCGGGGGCGAGGGGCUGUCGGCGGCCGACGCGGAGAGGCUGUGCGAGUUCCUCCGCGCCGACCUGCCGCACCUGUUCGACGACGUGGGCAUCGACCGGUCCGCGUACGACGACCGCGUGCGGUUCCGUGACCCCAUCACCCGGCACGACACCAUCGACGGCUACCUCCUCAACAUCCGCCUCCUCAAGCUCCUCUUCCGCCCCGACUUCUACCUCCACGCCGUGAAGCAGACAGGGCCGUACGAGCUCACCACGAAGUGGACCAUGGUGAUGAAGUUUAUGCUCCUGCCGUGGAAGCCGGAGCUGGUCUUCACCGGGCUGUCGAUCAUGGGCCUCAACCCGCAGAAUCUCAAGUUCAACAGCCAUGUGGAUCUUUGGGAUUCGAUCGAAAAUAAUGAAUACUUCUCUUUCGAAGGAUUAUGGGAUGUUUUCAAGCAGCUACGGUUUUACAAGACCCCGGACAUAGAAACACCAAAUUACCUUAUUCUAAAGAGGACGACACAUUAUGAGGUUAGAAGUUAUUCACCAUUCUUAAUAGUUGAAGCAAAAGGAGAUAAACUGACAGGAUCUUCAGGAUUCAAUAAUGUAACUGGAUAUAUAUUUGGCAAGAAUGCUUCAUCUGAAAAGAUUCCGAUGACUACACCUGUCUUCACUCAAGCUUCUGAUGGCACACUUUCAGAUGUAUCCAUCCAGAUAGUUCUGCCGAUGAACAAAGACUUGAACAGUUUACCAGCUCCAAAUACAGAAGCGGUUACUUUGCGGAAGGUAGAAGGAGGCAUUGUUGCAGUAAAAAAAUUCAGUGGACGACCAAAAGAAGAAAUUGUGCUCCAGAAGGAAAAGGAUCUACGCUCCCAAUUACUUAAAGAUGGAUUGAAGCCUCAACAAGGCUGUUUGCUUGCACGUUAUAAUGAUCCCAGGACAAAGAGCUUCCUAAUGAGGAACGAGGUGCUGAUACGGCUAAAUGAGUUCACACUGGAGUUGUAAUCAUCAUAGCUGGCAACAGAUUUAUGUAACACUAGGCUUUGGGCUUGGAUAUUUCAGCGCAUCAUUAGAAAGGGCAAAUCUUGUUAACGGGUGGAUGUGCUUUAUGUAAAUGUGAAAUUCUGAAAGGUAAUAAGCUACAUGAUAAAACAAUAGAUCACUCUAUUAUGUUUAUACACCAUAUUUUGAAUUGACAGAAAAAAGUAUUAGAAUGAA